UGAGAGGAUUUCUUUAUUUCGCGCGUUCAGACCCAACACACUCGGACACCUUGGGGCCCUGUGAGGGCUAAGCAGGGUGGUGGCGUCAGCUCCCGGGGAGGCCCCACUCCCUGGGGAGGAAAUACACGGCAGGGGGCCGCACCCAGCCCCGCACGGAGGGACCCGUGUUGCUCUAACAGGGACACUGAAGUUGCCUCUGACGCCCCGUGAGGGGCCUGUGGCAGCCCCAGACCCAGCCCAGCCAGGCCAGAGGAGCCUCCCAGGGGCCCUCAGGUGGUCAGGUGGGGGCUUCCCGGCCCCGGUGCCCGCCGGCCCUUCUAGCUGCCUGUGCUGGGCCAGGUGUCCUCUGAGGCCGGCAGGAGUCUGGCCCCUGCUGCACCUGCGCUUGGUGGCUGGCAGGGGCGGGGUAGGGAGGUCACCCCCGAGGCCGGGGUCCCCAUGUGCUAGGGGAAGACCUGCCUUCCCAGCCAGUGUCCACAGGGCAGCCAUUCCACACUCUGAGGCUCAGGGACCAAGGCAGGGCUGGGUGUGGGGCCCAGACUCCAAGCUCUGGGGGUUGGGGGACCAAGGCAGGGCUGGGCAUGGGGCUCAGGGCCUUGGAGGUUUUUCUCAGCUCUCAACAUCACAGCACAGGGCCCGUGAGUCACCCCAGUCCUCUGGGCCCGUGUACCCAAGCCGGAUGCAGGCCGGGGAGUGCACGUGGGGCUCCUCUGUGGCACCAAUGUGAAGCUGCUCUCCGGGGCGGUCGCAGCCUCCAAACCCUGGUGCUACGAGUCCGUGCCUCAGGCCCAGGGACCACAGGCCGUCUGCUCAUGGCUGAAAAUGAGGCCAAGCAGCUCCCAAGUCUCGAAGACUCCACUGGUUGUGGAGGCAGAGGGGCCCUUCCAGGGCAGGGCAGCCCUCGGGGCAGCAGCAGGGGCAAGGGCUCUGUCUCACGCACACGGGCACAGGCACGCAGGUGCCGGCCCUGCCGCUGGCUCCCAAGAGGCCGACAGCCCGGUAGGGAGGUCACACUCACACAGCUGAUCCCUGGAGGUAAAGAAACCUAGACGAGGAGAGCGGAGGCUGGGCCUGCGCAAGGAGGCGCCAAGGGGGGAGACCACUGCCCACAACAGGGUCAGUCCCGCGAGACGGUCAGUUCCGCGCCUGCCGCCCGCCCAGCUGCAGGGUGCUCGC
rnacentral:antisense_RNA from 1 species